GAGAAAGUGAGGAACAGUCAAUACCAGCUCUUUUUUAUUUUUUCAGCAAGGAUGUUGCUUGCAAACUACAAAUCUCUCCUCCUUUCAGCUGACCCGAGUGUGACGACACCGCAACAGCUGGCUACGUCAGUCCUCGGAGCCAAAAACACGACCUUUAGGUGCAUUGAGAUAUGUGAUACCGAUGGAGAUUGAGACGCGAGUGUUAUGCAGUCGUGACACAACUGUGGGUGUUUACGUGAGCGUCGGCUGUGUGCUGUUUUGGAAGAGACUGCAGCAAAGGGAAUUCUGCUCCUACCUCACUGCUUUAUUUGGGCUGCUGCUGGCUUUGUGAAUGGACCUUUGUGCCCCUCCCAACAUUCAGGUGCUGUGCUCUGAUUGGCUGACACACCUCUGCAUGCCAACUGCGACAUCAGAGCUCCAUUAAUGCCC
ensembl:lncRNA